AGUUAAUGAGCUUGAUAAAGCAUAUAUUUUGAAAAUAUAAGAUAGAUCUUAUUAUCUAUUAACUU
rnacentral:tRNA from 1 species